rnacentral:rRNA from 1 species
UACAGAGGUCUCAAGCGUUGUUCGGAUUCAUUGGGCGUAAAGGGUGCGUAGGCGGCCGCGCAAGUCUGGCGUGAAAGCCCCGGGCUCAGCCCGGGAAGGGCGCUCGAAACGGCGCGGCUCGAGUGCCGGAGGGGAGAGUGGAAUUCCAGGUGUAGCGGUGAAAUGCGUAGAUAUCUGGAGGAAUACCGGUGGCGAAGGCGGCAUCCUGGACCGGCAUUGACGCUGAGGAGCGAAAGCCAGGGGAGCAAACGGG